GAUUGUGAGUCAUAAGUUGAGAAAAAAAAAAGAUGUUGCCCAUUCUGCCAGCCGUAUGUCCUCUAGCAUGGUUCACCAAGCCUGACGGGCUCUGAUGGAGUAGGAACGGUCACCUCUGGACAUGAGCUGAGACUUUGUUACAUCAAGGAGGGUCCUGCCUGAGGAGAAAGGCUGCACACUGACUCUCUCGAAGGUCCAGCCAAUCACAAUUGAUGUAUGGCAUGUACACGUCGGUCUAAACUGUCACUUGAGUCCAGAGCUCAAUCAGCACUAAAAACGUGAUGAUGGCAAGUUAUUUUGCAAUAACAAUUCUGAUUGCAGCAUUGCCGGUUGAGAGCCAAGACAUUCCUCGUUCAGUUUCUGAAAUAAAAGCAGAACUUGGAGAUAAGAUCACAACAUCACGACGGUUGAAGAAAAGCAAGAUAAAACAGAAUCCUACAGGAAUCUGGUUUCCAUGGUGCUUGGAAUACUGUUGGCUUGCUGUCUGUUUGUGAUCAUAAUCUUCUUUCUAUCCAGAAAUAAAAAACAAGUUUGUGAGCAUUGCAAAGAAACACUGAGUUCCUCCUACCAUGUGGCAAAUGACUCAGGGAUUCAGGAACAACAGGACAGGGAAACGGGUUCCUUGAAUUACGCAGCGUUGGAUUUCCCUGGCAGGAAAACCAAAAGGGGGAAAAAGAACAGUGAACGGACUCAGGAGAGUCUGUAUUCUGAUGUGAGAGAAACCCGCCACUAAAGUCUAUUAACCAGGGAGUCUGUGUCCCCUCAUGAGGCUUAAGUAAUGAUUUUGGCACGUUGUGAUGUCAGUUUGGAUUGAUGAAUUUGAAUGUUGUGCUAUGGUUGUUGAUGGAAAUAAUCUGGACCAUUUUAUUUUUAUGGGUAUAUGUAGACUGUUUAUAUUUAGUUAUGUUGCUUUGAAAAUAUUUUAUAUUGCAAACACACGCAUGUGGCCGCAUAACUAAAUCUUGAUAAACAUAAUUUUUAAUGUGCCACCAAUCUCAACUAUGAUUGCUGAGGUUGCUUGGCAACCAUUUGCUGGCUUGAGGCACAAUGUUGCUUUGGGGGAGAAUUAUGAUUUGUUUUCAAUAAAUUAUUGCACUUGAA
ensembl:lncRNA